rnacentral:rRNA from 1 species
GUCUAUGGCCAUGCCACCCUGAAUGUGCCCGAUCUCAUCUGAUCUCAGAAGCUAAGCAAGGUCGGGCCUGGUUAGUACUUGGAUGGGAGACUACCUAGGAAUACCAGGUGCUGUAGGCG